CUAAGUCAGGAACCUCCAACACUGCAGCCAGAACAACAGCAACACUGAGUGCCAGACCAUCAGCGGCAUCACAGGGCCCCACAAGUCAGACAGCCGCACACCCAUCAACAGGAACAACCAACAAUGCCCCAUCCACCACCGGAACGGAAGCACCAGUUACUGGCAACAAGAGCCUACCAUUUUGGGCCAUAAUCAUUAUAGUCCUGGCUAUCCUGCUCGCCAUACUCAUUAUAUGCACUAUUUGUCUAUUGUUUGUAUUCUGCGUGAGAAGGAAAAGAGUUAGGAGCUACAGUAUAAUACAAAAAAGCUGGAGACAAUUAUCGCCUCCAUCUGGAUGAGGAGAAGUAUUACUGAAGAAAGCACCUCGAUCGAAGUUCAAAGCAGUUUAUCAAACUAUUUAUUUUAUCAAAGUUAUUGAAGAGUAUAUAUAUAUAUAUAUUUUAUUAGCACUACAUGAAGAUUAAUAUAUUUGGAAGGGAAUUUUUGUAAAAAACAAAAUUGGCUGGACCAGCGACCGCAGAAUUGUUCAGGGAUUUCUUUUGAGGACUAACAAAUAGCAAAAUACUCCAGAUGCUGGAAAUCUGAAAUAAACACAGAAGUCGCUGGGAAUACUCAGCAGGUCAGGCAGCAUCUAUGGAGAGAGCUUAACGUUUCAGGUCGAUGACCUUUCGUCUGAUGAGUGUUCCCAGCGACCUCUGUUUUGAUCUCUUAAGGACUAAACCUGUUUGGUGUCAAUUUGAGAUUUCAAUUAGAAAUUGCAGAAUGGUUAUGUUGACAUUCUUUUGCAAUUUAAUCCAUUAAAUAUAUAACAACAAUAACAAUUCUUGCAUUUCAUGCAGCGACUUUCACGUCGAGAGGAUGUCUGUCUCAAAGCACUUCACAGAAUUUACUGUAGAGUGACUGUAUUUUGCAAAGGAGUCAACAUAUGUGGCCAAAGGUGUUUGUUUAUAAAACAUUACUAUAAAUAAGUAACUAUUUACAUAUCUAUUUAAUAAAUUAUCAACUUCAACAGUAAAGUACAUUAUUAUAGUGAUUAUCACAUUCAUCAUAUUCUUAUUAUAUAUCUAAAUUAUUUAAAUAGGUAAAUUUUAAAGCCCAGGAUUUGGCAUUGCCGACCUCUGUCUCUUAAAAAAACAAAUAGUUCUAUCAUGUUUAUUAAACUAUUCAAUUACUCAACAAAAAUAUGAGUUUGAUGAUGUUAAAUUGUUAUGUUAUUGAUCUUAUUUAUGUAAUAGUUGAUACACUUGUAAUAGUUUAACUGAGAGCGCUUGUAUCAAACUGAAUAAACUGUUUGU